GACGAACGCUGGCGGCGUGCCUAAUACAUGCAAGUCGAGCGGAACUUAGAAAGCUUGCUUUCUAAGUUUAGCGGCGGACGGGUGAGUAACACGUGGGCAACCUGCCUAUAAGACUGGGAUAACUUCGGGAAACCGGAGCUAAUACCGGAUAAUAUAAAAGACCACAUGGUCUUUUAUUGAAAGAUGGCUUCGGCUAUCACUUAUAGAUGGGCCCGCGGCGCAUUAGCUAGUUGGUGAGGUAAUGGCUCACCAAGGCGACGAUGCGUAGCCGACCUGAGAGGGUGAUCGGCCACACUGGGACUGAGACACGGCCCAGACUCCUACGGGAGGCAGCAGUAGGGAAUCUUCCGCAAUGGACGAAAGUCUGACGGAGCAACGCCGCGUGAACGAUGAAGGCCUUCGGGUCGUAAAGCUCUGUUGUUAGGGAAGAACAAGUAUCGUUCGAAUAGGGCGGUACCUUGACGGUACCUAACCAGAAAGCCACGGCUAACUACGUG
rnacentral:rRNA from 1 species